rfam:Oryza glaberrima chromosome 3 Oglab03_0056_5, whole genome shotgun sequence.
AUAGGUGCCGGUUUUUUAAAAAAACCCGACACCUUUAAUAUAUUAUAGGUGUUGGUUAAUUAAAAAUCGGCACCUAUAAUAAAUUAUAGGUGUCGGUUUUUUUUAAAAACCGGCACCUGU